rnacentral:rRNA from 1 species
CCUACGGGUGGCAGCAGUGGGGAAUAUUGCACAAUGGGCGCAAGCCUGAUGCAGCCAUGCCGCGUGUAUGAAGAAGGCCUUCGGGUUGUAAAGUACUUUCAGCGGGGAGGAAGGGAGUAAAGUUAAUACCUUUGCUCAUUGACGUUACCCGCAGAAGCAGCACCGGCUAACUCCGUGCCAGCAGCCGCGGUAAUACGGAGGGUGCAAGCGUUAAUCGGAAUUAUUGGGCGUAAGGCGCACGCAGGCGGUUGGUAAAGUUAGAUGUGAAAUCCCCGGGCUAAACCUGGGAACUGCAUCUGAUACUGGCAAGCUGGAGUGUGGUAGAGGGGGGUAGAAUGCCAGGUGUAGCGGUGAAAUGCGUAGAGAUC